rnacentral:rRNA from 1 species
CAUCGCCUCCUGGCCAAAUAUAGGAGGUCCAGCCUGCCCAGUGACAAAAUUCAACGGCCGCGGUACCCUAACCGUGCGAAGGUAGCAUAAUCACUUGUUCUUUAAAUGGGGACUAGUAUAAACGGCAUCACGAGGACUACACUGUCUCCUUUUUCCAAUCAGUGAAACUGAUCUCCCCGUGAAGAAGCUGGGAUAUUUACAUAAGACGAGAAGACCCCAUGGAGCUUUAAACCCAAUGCAUAAUUCAAUCCACUAAACCACCAAAACCCAAGAAACCUAUGCAUCGGUUUUAGGUUGGGGUGACCGCGGAGUAAAACCUAACCUCCGCAACAAAUGGGCUAACGCCAUGAUCUAUGAACCACAAUUCUAAGAGCCAACAAAUUGUUGCCCAAUGACCCAAUUAAUUGAUCAAUGAACCAAGUUACCCUGGGGAUAACAGCGCAAUCUACUUCAAGAGCCCCUAUCGACAAGCAGGUUUACGACCUCGAUGUUGGAUCAGGGUAUCCCAGUGGCGCAGCCGCUACUAAAGG